ACAUGCCUAUAGCAUAGCGUUAAUGCACCAAAUCCCAUUAGAAAUCCGCAAUUAAGUGCGCUUAGGCUAGAGUAGUACUCGGAUGGCUGAAUACCCAAGAAGUCAUAUUAUUUUACAUGCC
rnacentral:rRNA from 1 species